GAGUCUGUGGAUUUUACUUACUUUGUGUAUGUAACCUUUAAGGUUUUUUUUUUUUUUUUCAGUUUUCUUUCUUUUUUUUUUUUUAUUGAAAAUAAUGGGAGGAGAACUGGAGAAAUGCCUCAGAGGUCAAGAGGGAUUGCUGCUUUUGCAGAGGACCAAGGUUGGGUUCCCAGCACCCACAUCAACUUGCUCAUAAUCAACUCUAAUUCUAGUUCCAGGGAAUCUGCACACAUGUGCUGCAGUUACCUCACACACGUGUGUGUGCGCGGACGCAGACACACACACAAUCCCUUAGAAAGUGUGGGUUUCCUCAUGACAUUUUCAGAUUCAGGUAUCAUUGUGCUUUGUGCAAAUUCCCCCUUCAGGGUGGUUGAGAUCCUUGCAAAGUAUAAACCAUCAUUUCUUUCUCUGCGCCUCCCUCUCCUUUCUUUCUAUCUCUUUUGGACGUGUUAGAAUCCAUGGAGUUUCUUCAUUCCGGCCUCGGUGAUUCUUAGAGCAUAUUUUGACACCUGAUUUUAAUUCCAAACCAUUUACUACCUUUAGAUUUUCUUUUACAGACCUGCUUGUAUCUGAGCACUGUCUUUUUCUUAAAAACAUUAAUUUAAUAAUUUAAAAUAUAAAUUUACAAAGUCUACUAGAGUAUCCUAAAGCAUUUUAAUAGGUGCUACUCCUAUCUGUCGCAACUGUCAACUUUGCCACAUAACAAUUCUGUACCCCCAGGUUAUAACCAUAAACUUGUCUUUACCAAAGCCUGCUUUUCUGCAGUUUUCUCUCAACUGAAAACUGUCUUUCUUUGUGCCAAACAGAAGAAAUGUUGAAUAAACAACAGUUAUCACAUUAGACACACUUAAAUUUGCUAAGCAUCUUAAAUUUUUGUCCAGAAACAAGGGCAAGGUGGCUAGUAAGAAACUACACAGAAAUUAAGCAAACCAAUUCCAUCUUAGUAGUUGUGAAAACAGAAAAGAAAGAUGGCAAGAGACCAGGGAAACAUCUGAAGAUAACACCUGACCACAGCUAGUUAAUGAAGUUACCCUCGCUGUCUUCUUAGGCUCUUGAAUACUUAAAUCUCAUAUUAUUUCAGAUGUAAGAUGCUAGGUGAAUAUUUUCCACAAAUUAUUUAAGUUCAUCCUUACUGACAACCCCUUAUGUAAUGAAUGAGUUCAGAAAAUACUUUUGGAUAGUAACCCUAGGGUAUAAGGAUUUUUCAUCCAUAGAGAACAUUUUGGCAUCAAAACUUAGCUAUGUAGCAUUGUCUAUGAGAUAGCAAAUCGUCCUAAGUCGUAUUUUUCCAUAUCAGUAGAAAAAUGGAACAAAGCAUAACUGUGAUAAAAGCUGCAUUUCACUCUCUUCAGUCAAGGCUUCCAUUUAGGCUUUUGUUACUGACAAAACCAAAAUUCCUUAGAAGGGAUAAAAUACUUCACUGUUCUUUACUGUGUAAAUCAAAUAUCCCAUUGUCAACAAGUUUCAAAUACCAAAGAUUAUUACUAUGCCACUCUUCAGCAACUUCACUCAAAUAAGCAUUGAUAACAGGGGUGGGAUUUGUGUGUGCAGAGAGUCUAAUGUGUAAUAGGUUGCACUGUUAGCAUUUAAACGGAACAUCCCAGUUUCUGCUCUUUUCACUGGCACCAACUUCAAUAAUUCAGAUCUGCCAUAUCUUAUUUCAACAAGAAAACUGAGAAUACACAAAAUUAUUUUUAAAACUGAUAAUAUUAAAUCUUAUUAAAAACUGGCAGGUAGAUCAGCUUUCUUCUAAUAUAAGCAGAAUACAAGUCACUAUCCUCCAUUUAAAUAACUAUCCUUCAUUGGCAUUAGAACCUACUUGUUUAGGACUCUGGGGCAUAGUAAAGAGUAGCUGAGACAUGAAUUUAACAACUACUGGAGUCUUAGACUUUCUGUCGGUACAUAGCCAUUUUUGGACUAGCUACUCAUAAAUAGUAGUAAGCUACUCAUAAAUCCUAUCUAUAUUCAUUCGAUCAGUUUUGUUCCUCUAGAGAACUCUGACUAAUACAGAAAGUCUCACAAACACAUAUUGUUUGCACAAUCUCUAUGGGAUAGAGUAGGAAACAUCCAUUCUGGGUAGGAACUACCACAAACUGACUUAACCUUGUCCUUGUUCAGUCUUCUAUUGCUGCACACUAUCUUGCACUAGCUCCUGAGCAACUCUGAACUGGCCAGUGUAGGAGUGAUUGAUUCAGUGCCACUCCAACAGUUUACAGGUCAGGGUGCACCUGUGACAGGGACUCGAAUGCACCACUGCACCACAGACUCAAAUCUCAUUGGAGUGAGAAUUCUGGAAUUUGGUUUCUUAAAACAAAACAAAACCAAACCAGAAAUAUAAGAAUAUGUUUUUGUUUUAAUUCAAGGUGCUGGAAAUGGGGCUGCUUCAAAGCAGCUGUUGAUGAUUUGCCUUGUGCUCUAGCAGAGGCGUGGUUUGCCAGCGGAAGAUAGUUUUAUGAUUAUGUGACAGUUGGAAUUCUGGGAACUUUUCAGAGAUACGGUAUAUAAGUGCUGGAGCCCCGAUAUGUUGUUGUUAGUGGUGGUGGAUUUGUUAGUAGUUGUGCUCAAAGCAGAAACAAGAAAAAGGAAAUUAGAUUUGGAGAUCUCUCUCUCUCUCCCCCCCCCCUCUUUUUUUCUCUCUUAUCUAGUCAGAGUGGGUGAAGCCGGGGGUGGGGGCAGAUAAAGCUUGGGAAAAAGAAGAACCCACAAAGUAGCAAAGAGCAGUGACAUCUCAUGGUCACUGGCAUGGAGUUAACUGGCUGCUUUUCUACAGGACAUUUAGUUUGAUAAUAAAAGACUCGGAUUCUUCAUCUUCAAACACCCAGCAUUGUUGUUUGGGAGAUGAUUUUUCUUUAAAACUAUGGUGGAGAAUUAAAUUGUGGGAAGCUUAACCCAGAGACAAGAGAGGGUUGAAGCAAAGCACCUUUUCAAGGUAUGCAGACAGCUGAAGUUAAAGUAGAGGGUCUCAAACUCUAUUCCCAGAUACAUCAGGCCCCAAAUUAGAUAGUCAAGUCCUUGAAGCCUUCAGAUCUGAGUGUGGGUCUUAUUCCUUAGCUCAGGUGGGCACCAACUUGUGACUCUCUGCCUCAUUCUAAUAUGCUGUGAUUUCAGAUGUGCACCACCACAGCUGGCUUAGAAAGAGAUAUCAUCUGUAGUGUUAAUAUACCUAUUCACUUCUGAGGAAAAAUUAACCUCUAGAACCUGGAUGGGGGAUGGAAGAAAUCAGAAGUUGGCCCAAGGGAAAACACUUCCAGGUGGUGGGGAGGACUGGAAUCAAGUGGAAUGGCCAGUGUGUGAAGGCUGUGAGGGAUGGCAGCGCCGGCCAGGGUCUCAGGAGCUGCUCACUGAGCACAGCUCCAAAGCUGGAGCAGGUGGAGGUGCUCUCCCCAGCAGCUCUGAGUGACUCCCUCCAGGCAUUAUAGUCCAAGUCAGGAAGGCAGCUCAAAUAGACUUCCUGUUUAUUUGUUGGAUAAAAGUUUCAGAGCUUAGCACAUUUUUAAAUGGAAUUUGGAGCUUCGGUGCCAUGCAAUGUAAACAUAUCUAUGCCCUAUACGGUGUUGUGAAACAGACUUAAAUAUAUGUGUCCUAUAUGGUGAUGUGACAUAGAUUUGCAUUCUUUUCCUUACCCCUUUGCCUUUUUAGUCUUCCUUUCUUUUUUUUUUUUUAUAAUAGAAUAGAGUUUAUUUGGGGCAUGGGGAGGGGAGUAAAGAGGGUAGGAGAGAGAGAGAGAGACAGAGAGAGGAAGAAGAAGAAGGAAGAGGAGGAGGAGGAGGAAGAAGAAGAAGAAGAGGAGGAGAAGGAGGAAGAGGAAGAAGAGGAGGAAUAGAGGGAUAGAAGCCGGCCAUGAGCACGUGAGGUGGUAGGGAAUGUCAGGGGAGGGGGGAAGGGGAGAGAGGAUAGAGCAGGAGCAAGAAGGCAAGAGCAAGAAGAGCCUUUUUAUUCUUUCUUUAUAGUUCAGGCUAUUCUUGAACUUGUGGCAAUUCUGUAUCUGCCUAAACACUGAGAUCUUCAUGAACAUUCUUCCCACUUCUUGGCUUUCCUGGACAGUAGGUGUAGCUAGCAGUCACGGGGAGCUUUGGUUUCAAGUCUCCAAUUUAACCAAAGCUGAAACUCUUAUCUUCAUGUGGGUUUCAAAGCUACUCUUACCGCUCGCUCGCUGUGGUUCUGAAACCUGCAAGAGGCUGCUCCUGCUUACUUCCCAAGUCUUAUGUAUCUUCUUUCUCUUGUAUGGCAUUUCAUUUUACUAAGAAAAGUGCUCUCAGGCCCAUUGGACUUGCAAACUUUAUAUGCCCCAGUACAGGGGAACGCCAGGGCCAAAAACGGGGAGUGGGUGGGUACGGGAUUGGGGGGGUGGGUAUGGGGGACCUUUGGGAUAGCAUUGAAAAUGUAAACGAGGAAAAUACC
rnacentral:lncRNA from 1 species